CUACGGGAGGCAGCAGUGGGGAAUAUUGGACAAUGGGGGAAACCCUGAUCCAGCAAUGCCGCGUGUGUGAAGAAGGCCUGCGGGUUGUAAAGCACUUUCGGUUGGGAGGACUGCUUCUAGCACUAAUAUUGUUGGAAGUUGACGUUACCUUCAGAAGAAGCACCGGCUAACUCCGUGCCAGCAGCCGCGGUAAUACGGAGGGUGCAAGCGUGAAUCGGAAUUACUGGGCGUAAAGCGCGCGUAGGCGGCUAGAUCAGUCGGGUGUGAAAGCCCCGGGCUUAACCUGGGAACUGCAUCCGAUACUGUCUAGCUUGAGUACAGGAGAGGAGAGUGGAAUGCCACAUGUAGCGGUGAAAUGCGUAGAUAUGUGGAGGAACACCAAUGGCGAAGGCAGCUCUCUGGCCUGAUACUGACGCUGAGGUGCGAAAGCGUGGGGAGCAAACAGGAUUAGAUACCCUAGUAGUC
rnacentral:rRNA from 1 species